rnacentral:misc_RNA from 1 species
AAGUCGUAACAAGGUUUCCGUAGGUGAACCUGCGGAAGGAUCAUUAACACGUAUCCACGUAAAUACCAACGUGAACCCGUUUUCAAGUCUCCCUUCGAGGCACAUGAAUUGGUAAUCAAAACAGAUUAAUGAGUGGGCCUCUUCACCGAGGCAGGUCUGUUCUAUGACACACUGAAGUGAUUCGUCGCUUCGACAAUUGUAGUGCACGGAGGCCAACAUCUAUUACUGACAAUCUCCAUUCUUGAUCCAAGUAAUAGACAUAUUAACCUUAUUCACCCCUUUUUGCUAGUUGACUUUAUUAUGUUGUGAUCAUUGAAAGGUUUAUUUCUUUCGCUGGUCUCACACGUUUAAUUAUUUAAACGAUAGAACAACUCUUAGCAAUGGAUAUCUUGGUUCUC